AUGAACGCUGACAGAAUGCUUAACACAUGCAAGUCUACUUGAACUUCGGUUUGGGUGGCGGACGGGUGAGUAACGCGUAAAGAACUUGCCUCACAGAUAGGGACAACAUUUGGAAACGAAUGCUAAUACCUGAUAUUAUGAUUUUAGGGCAUCCUAGAAUUAUGAAAGCUAUAUGCACUGUGAGAGAGCUUUGCGUCCCAUUAGCUAGUUGGAGAGGUAACGGCUCACCAAGGCGAUGAUGGGUAGCCGGCCUGAGAGGGUGAUCGGCCACAAGGGGACUGAGACACGGCCCUUACUCCUACGGGAGGCAGCAGUGGGGAAUAUUGGACAAUGGACCAAGAGUCUGAUCCAGCAAUUCUGUGUGCACGAUGAAGUUUUUCGGAAUGUAAAGUGCUUUCAGUUGGGAAGAAAAAAAUGACGGUACCAACAGAAGAAGUGACGGCUAAAUACGUG
rnacentral:rRNA from 1 species